GGGAAUAUAGCUUAGUUGGUAGAGUGCUUGCCUCACAAGCACAAGGCCUGGGUUCAAUCCCCAGCACCA
rnacentral:tRNA from 1 species